UACGUAGGUGGCAAGCGUUGUUCGGAAUUAUUGGGCGUAAAGGGCUCGUAGGCGGUUUGUCGCGUCGGGAGUGAAAACGCCGUGCUUAACACGGCGCUUGCUUUCGAUACGGGCAGACUAGAGGUAUUCAGGGGAGAACGGAAUUCCUGGUGUAGCGGUGAAAUGCGCAGAUAUCAGGAGGAACACCGGUGGCGAAGGCGGUUCUCUGGGAAUGACCUGACGCUGAGGAGCGAAAGUGUGGGGAGCGAACAGG
rnacentral:rRNA from 1 species